rnacentral:tRNA from 1 species
AAGGAAGGACAGAAAUCAAUAAGUACUGCUAAUCCCUAUGCCCCGUGGAUAAAGUACACGGCUUCCUUA